CCUACGGGAGGCAGCAGUGAGGAAUAUUGGUCAAUGGGCUUACGCCUGAACCAGCCAAGUCGCGUGAGGGAAGACUGCCCUAUGGGUUGUAAACCUCUUUUGUCAGGGAGCAACGCCGGCUACGUGUAGCCGGACUGAGAGUACCUGAAGAAAAAGCAUCGGCUAACUCCGUGCCAGCAGCCGCGGUAAUACGGAGGAUGCGAGCGUUAUCCGGAUUGAUUGGGUUUAAAGGGUGCGUAGGCGGAAUGCCAAGUCAGCGGUAAAAUCGCGGGGCUCAACCUCGCUCCGCCGUUGAAACUGGCGUUCUUGAGUGGGCGAGAAGUAGGCGGAAUGCGUGGUGUAGCGGUGAAAUGCAUAGAUAUCACGCAGAACUCCGAUUGCGAAGGCAGCAUACCGGCGCCCAACUGACGCUGAAGCACGAAAGCGUGGGUAUCGAACAGGAUUAGAUACCCUAGUAGUC
rnacentral:rRNA from 1 species